rnacentral:rRNA from 1 species
GUUAAACAUAAAGAGCGUAGGGUGGAUGCCUAGGCACUAAGAGCCGAUGAAAGACGUGAUAAGCUGCGAAAAGCUGCGGUAAGGAGCAAAUAUCCAUUGACCCGCAGAUAUCUGAAUGGGGAAACCUGCUUAAGUAAACCUUAAGUAUCCAUGGGUGAAUAAAAUAGUCCAUGGAAGGGAACCCGGUGAACUGAAACAUCUAAGUAGCCGGAGGAAGAGAAAGAAAAAUCGAUUUUGGGAGUAGUGGCGAGCGAAACCGAAAGAGCCUAAACCAUUGUGCGAGCACGAUGGGGUUAUGGACUGCACAAAGUCAAAGACUUGUUACCGGAAGGGAUAUGGAAAGACCUGCCAGAGAACGUGAGAGCCGUGUAGGGGAAAACAAGUCAAGAUGAGCAGUAUCCGAAGUACCAUAAGACACGAGAAACCUUGUGGGAAGUCGGGGGGACCACCCCCCAAGGCUAAAUACUACUUAGUGACCGAUAGCGCAUAGUACUGUGAAGGAAAGGUGAAAAGGACCCCGGGAGGGGAGUGAAAGAGAACCUGAAACCCUAUGUUUACAAGCUGUGGAACACCGCAAGGUGAACCGCGUACUUUUUGUAGAACGGUCCGGCGAGUUGCAUGUACUGGCAAGGUUAAGCACUAAAGGUGCGAAGCCGAAGAGAGAUCAAGUCUUAAUAGGGCGAAGAAGUCAGUGAAUGCAGACCCGAAACCGGGUGAUCUAUCCAUGUCCAGGUUGAAGUCAACGUAAAAGUUUAUGGAGGACCGAACCCACAUCCGUUGAAAAGGGUGGGGAUGAGGUGUGGAUAGGGGAGAAAUUCCAAUCGAACCCGGAGAUAGCUGGUUCUCCUCGAAAUAGUUUUAGGACUAGCCUUAAUUUAGUCUGAUGGAGGUAGAGCACUGAAUUUUUGCGGGGGCGUCAAAGCUUACCAAUGAAUAUCAAACUGCGAAUGCCAUACAGAUGAUGAUUAGGAGUCAGACUACACGAGAUAAGUUGGGUAGUCGAAAGGGAAAGAGCCCAGAUCUACGGCUAAGGUCCCAAAGUGAGUGUUAAGUGGAAAAGGAUGUAGGAUUUCAUAGACAACUAGGAUGUUGGCUUAGAAGCAGCCAUACAUUAAAAGAGUGCGUAAUAGCUCACUAGUCGAGAGGUUCUGCGCCGAAAAUGUCCGGGGCUAAAACACUACACCGAAGCCAAGGGAUGACGAAAGUCAUCGGUAGAGGAGCAAUCUUACCGACGUAGAAGCCAUACCGAAAGGAGUGGUGGAGAAGUAAGAAGAGAGAAUGCCGGAAUGAGUAGCGAGAGUGAGGUGAGAAUCCUCACGGCCAAAUACCCAAGGAUUCCAGAGUAAAGCUGAUCUGCUCUGGGUAAGUCGGGACCUAAGGCGAGGGAGAAAUCCGUAGUCGAUGGACAUCAGGUAUAUAAUCCUGAACUGCAUAUAAUCAGAAAUGUGGGGACACAGAGACUUAAGUCGAACCCGGGAGAGCAAAGACCGGGAUAAGCGAGGUAGCAGGUGGUAGGAAAAACCGCCACGAAAUGCGAAUGCGUGAUAUGUAGCGAAGAAAAGUAGCGAAGUCGAAUAGGGAGCUGUCAAGAAAAGCCGCUAUAGCGUUAUAUGUACCCGUACCGAAAACCGACACAGGUGGGUGAGGAGAGAAUCCUAAGGCCGGCGGGAGAAGCAUUGUUAAGGAACUCGGCAAAAUGACCCCGUAACUUCGGGAGAAGGGGUGCCACUUUAAAAGAGUGGUCGCAGAAAAAAGGCUCAAGCAACUGUUUAGCAAAAACACAGGUCUAUGCGAAACCGUAAGGUGAAGUAUAUGGGCUGACGCCUGCCCGGUGCCGGAAGGUUAAGAGGAGAAGUCAGGAAACGAAGCUUUGAAUUGAAGCCCCGGUAAACGGCGGCCGUAACUAUAACGGUCCUAAGGUAGCGAAAUUCCUUGUCGGGU